UACGGAGGGUGCAAGCGUUGUUCGGAAUUACUGGGCGUAAAGAGCGCGUAGGCGGUUCUAUAAGUCAGACGUGAAAGCCCUGGGCUUAACCCAGGAUGUGCGUUUGAAACUGUAGAGCUAGAGGACCAGAGAGGUGAGUGGAAUUCCUAGUGUAGAGGUGAAAUUCGUAGAUAUUAGGAGGAACAUCAGUGGCGAAGGCGGCUCACUGGCUGGUAACUGACGCUGAGGCGCGAAAGCGUGGGGAGCAAACAGG
rnacentral:rRNA from 1 species